rnacentral:lncRNA from 1 species
CGCCUGCUGAACCAAAAACGCACAGAGGAGGAGGACUAUAUAAGCAAGGCCCCUGGCCCCUGGAGGAGGACAAGAAAUUAUCAUAGAGAUUGAGGGGUGCCCUCGAAGGAAAACCUCUUCUCUAAAUAAUAUUUAUUUUUAGGCUUAGCAACCAAUGUAAAGUAGAAAUAGAUCUUCUAGUUUCUACUAGAUUGAGAGAGAUAGAGUGGAGGUGUGGAUCGGAGGAAGGCCGGCCUGUCGGUGUCUACUCCGAGUUGUACCUGCGGGAUCAAGUCUCCUAACCCGAGGCUUGCUUCUAAGAUUCUUCAGUAAUUCGACUUCUAAUUACUAGUAAGUUCUUAUUUUAUUGUUCUUUGGUUUAUGAGUUUACUUUAAUCCUCUUCCGGUUGAGUAUUAGAGUAAUCACUUGCUAGCGUAAACGUGGUGUUUAGGCUAGGGUACUCAUAGAUAUCCCCUGACUAGCUGGACCGUGGUAGUAGCGAGGAACGUGAUAUUUCCGAGUUACCUUUGCAGAUCACAUCUCGUUAGCAGGACGGGUAGGUUUAUAGGUGCGGGUCGAACAUCCUUUGUGUUGUCUAGAUUCCGUGAGCCUCCCCAAUAGAACAGUAGAUCAUCCUUACCAAGGUUAGAACGAGACUACGGUUGCAGUCCUCUCUAUACAUCACUCACAUCGAGAGACAUUCUUUGUAGCCUAAAGGGGUAAUAGCAAUAGAUUUGGUUAGUCAGAUGCACCCUUUCUCCCAGUGGUAAAAAUAUAAAUACGAUAACUCUGGAAAACCUCCCGGGUGAAAUGCUCACCGAUAUCCGUGCGCUUGCGGAUCAUUUCCUUAUUGCGUUACCAAAUAUCAACAAGCAUUUCUGGCGCCAUUGCCGGGGAGUAAGACGGUUUGCUGAGAUAACUUUGAAUGUUGCUAUUAUCUUGUAUUAUACUUUUAUACUUUUAUUCUUUUAUCUUUUUAUCUUUAUGGAUAACUCAAAUUCCAUAUCUAUUAUUGAAUUCUUUGCACCUUCAGAGACUAGCCAUAGACCAUGGGAGUCAACACGUCCUGCCCCUAAUUAUGAUCUGUGUCCGGAGUUGAUUGCAAUAGGUCAAAACCAACCCUUUUCUAUAGCUGAGGUCCUAUCUUUUAAUCAAGAAGAUAAUGCACUUUUAGCUACACCUAGGGAAUCUUUUAAUCUUUCUAUAAAUUCUGGUUUAGACCUAGCCUUCAUUCGUGGACAUCCUUCUUAUACUAGUCUUCAUAGAAAAAUCUUAGAGAUAGAGAAGGAAUCAUCUCCCAUACAAGGAGAGGAAGUUUCAAUAGCCGAUUUCCAAACAUUCCAAUCCCAUGAUUCGGCUAUCCAACCCAUCCUUGAGCUUAACAAUUUCUACUAUGCUCUUUCUCUUGAACCUCUCGAUAAUCCUAUGAAUCUCUCUAGACAUCCCAUGCAUAAGAAGGAGGAUCGAGAAGAGCAACAUCAAUGGCUAGAGGGCAUUAAAAAUCCAUGUGCUAUCACCAUUGAAUGGAUAGAUAAAACAAACUUGAGAGACAAUCCUAGAGAAAUUUUAAGCAUUCAUGAAGAAUCAUCCUUGGAGUUUGAGAAUGAGAGAAACAAUAGUGAGCAUGGAAGUUAUUUCAUAAAUACCUCACCCAGUCCUUGCUCAUAUAAAACAUCUCUCCAAUCAAUUUGUCUCUCCAUCCUUACCACAUUUGAGAUCUCCAACCCCCUCUUCCUUUCUAUUUAUAAAAACUUUAAAAGAGCGGUUGUCGAUGCAUAUGUCUAUAAUAAAUAUUGCAGAUCUCGUUGAGUUAAUUGAUGGUUUCCCAAGGACAAGCUUAGUGUCCUAAAACAAGCGCUUCUAAUUAUUUGCAACAUUGCCUUGUGUAUUGAGCAUAUAAAGAUAAUUGUAGAAAUAUUCCUUCGGGUAUUCUUGCCACUAACCUUUCUAGGAUUGGAGCAAGAAGAUCGGAUGAAUGACAAGCACAAGGUAUGUCCAACCAAUCAUCAUGCAACAUUGAAUUAAAUUCAUCCAAUCUUGAACUUUGUAAAAUUCAAGCUUGGGGGGAGUACUUUACAUAAAAACAUCUUUUGCCAUGUUGCUACGUUGGUUGUCCUUACCUUUGAGACAUGCUCAAUUUGUUAAAUAUUAAUUACACUACUUCAUCUCCACUUAAGUAGAUCUCUAUAAAUGCUCUCAUGCUACCUUUAUUUGCUUUAGUAUAUGCCUAGGUUUGGAAUAGUUUCAUUAUCUCUUAAUUAAGCAUGGUGCUUAGUUUAGGAAUGAUGAUCUUACUUCCAAGGGAUUUUAAAUUAAGCAUGGUGCUUAGGUUAAAAUGCCCUUCUAAAUCAAAUUAGACAUGGUGUCUAGGUUGAUUUUUGAGCCGAUAGUAUGCUAUAGUAGAUAUUGGAUAUUUUGUUGGACUAACCCCUGCAGGAAAACUUUCAAUAUCAACCUGGGAAGUCCUGAGAUAAACUCGCAUUGGAGAUGAAGAAAGUGACACAUGAAGUUUAACAAUUUGCACAAGAAAGACAUAGCUCAUUCAUCAUAAAGAGGUGAUUCAUGGAGGGUGCCACAAACACGAUGCACAACCGCUAAAGAAAAGGAAAGCUUUCACAAGGUGAUACUGUACCGUCACUCUUCAAGUAAGGUAACAUUUUAAGGUACUUGACUAUCACUUUUAUAAGCUUCUCCUUGGUUCUGGCGUUCACAUAAAAUAAAGAGACAAACAUGUAUGAUCUGUAACUCCAAAUUAACCAACUCAAUUAAUUCAACAUGUUUAGUUCUUUAAUCUUUGUUCUUAAUACUACCUUCGUGAUCCCACACUCCUAAUCAUAUAAGCUAAAAUGUUGCACAUUCAAUAUUUGGAAGAUAUAAACAAAACAUAAAUAUAGAUAGAUUAUCUUUCCAUUAGGUUGAGCCAUAUGAUCUGACAAAUGUUUUAAAUGCUACAUCUUAUUAUCCACCAACUUUGUCUUGCUCACUAUGCUUAAGGUUAGAGAAGAACAAUUACACUUCUGGUUCUGUUGGUGUUCUCCACCAACAGGGCCCAUGCACUUGAUCUCGGCCUUGUCUCUAUAAACAGGUACACUUCAAGCAAAACAAGGAGGAGUUUUAUAACUCCUAGACUCCACCAAGUGAAGGACCUGGAUCUACGAGCACAAACACACUGAGCAGGAUAUUGCCAACACCGCACUUCGAACUGCUGGGCAAUCAAAGAACAUGGGUGACACCGUAUCAAGAGGUGCAGACGUCAAGGUCCAUACCUAAUCAAAUGAUGCACCUAAAGGAUGAAGACAGUGAGAAGUCUUGACCAGAAUACUUAAAACAUUGGAUCAUUGUCGGAGGAGGUCAAGAUCGUCGACUCAAGUCACCUUUCUUGAUCAAGAAGGACGACCCUGGUGUUCCAAGCAUUGAGUGCACAAUCAACAGAUACUCUUUCAGAAGACACUCUACGACACCGGAUCUGACGACAACAUAAUGGACGCAGUCACUUAUCAGCUCCUGCAUGGAACCAUGCCCCUACAACCAAUAUACAUUCAGCUCUAGAUGAUUUUUAGAUCAUUGACAUGGGAGAAGACGAGUAUGAUCCACCCACCAUCCUUGGAAGACCGUUCCUCAACACUAUCAAAGCAAUCGUCUACAUUGGAACCGGAGAAGUCCACAUGCACUUCCCCUCUGAGAAGGUACGCCGUAUUUUACUGACCCUAACUAUAUAGUUGAAGACUCUAAGCAGGUCAGGACAAGAAGAAGACAACGCAACCGCAACCAGAGGAGGCAAAUCAUCAAGGACAGGUGGGCAGACUACGAAUGAGAAGUGGUAAGGUCUGAAGACAUACAGCUUGAACAGAACUGUCCUGAAGAGACCGUAGCACCGAGUCAAGUGUGGAGAGAGAAGAUAGUUACACACGAAGAGGAGGCACUGCCGGAACCACCGACUACGCCACCUAGCGAAUCCCAGGACGAUUGAAAACACAAGGAGUCCCGUUCGGAGGACUUAAAAACACCGAACGUCUUGCCAUGAGGUAAACUUGGUAGUUAUCUUUUUCCUUCAAUUAUUUAAAAUAGUUUGCUUAGUUAAUCAGGUUCAUAUCAUCUUGAAAAGAAAAUAAAAAUGUUAAAAAAACAGUAAGCCCCAUGUGAGUAUACGAGUGGCAUAAAACCCAUAAAUAUAUUUACUGUGGUGGCAUAAAAAUAAAAUAAAUAUAUUUUCAUUUUACAAUAAAAAUAUAAAAAUAAUAAGUGCAUGAUCCUGCUAAAUAAAUAACAUUUAUUGAGGAGGCUCAACAUGAUAAAGGCUAGAUAUUUAUGCUAACACUUAACCAGUUCCACAAAGCUUUAUUGUCUAUUUGAGCUCCACAGGAUUCAAGGAUCAAAAAAGACUAGCAGACGGAGGACAUCCUAAUCGCUGUCAGGGUACUGCCGACAUUCAAAUAUACCUCCGUCACCUGCUAGCUACAUCAGAAGAAAUUACGUCAAAAUCCAGCUUGGGGGAGAGCACCCCCAUUUAUCCAGCUAAGUAUUUCUACCUAUCUUUAUACUUAUAUUAUGUUAGAAUAUUAAAAUACAUAAAUUAUGAAAAACCCAAAUAAAGAUUUUGUGCUUUUAUAUAUAUAUCUUUGCUUAGUUUGCUAAAUAAAUAAAUAAAUAAAAUUUGCUAUGAACCCUCAUGAUAAGCUCUCUCAUGGAAAUGAUGAAUAGUUGCUCUGCCAUGACUAGUUCUCAAAAUUGAAAUCUCUCUCAAGUUUAUGCAUGACUGUUAUGAAGUAAGAUUUGCUCUAAACCUGAACUUGUGGGAAGAGUACUUGAUCUAAAGUCUAAGUCGUUAACGGAUAUGAUAUGGGAAGGUUGAGCUACUGUUUAUCUGUUCCUAGAGAUGCUAGAAUUCUGGAGAAUUUUAUCUUUGAAAAAUCUUUAAAAUAACACAUGAUGAGUUCCUAUAUGAUGAGAGUUUAAAUUCCUACCACAGCCAUAUAUACAUGCUUGCUAGACUUUGAGCCACAUAUUUACUUUUUACUGCUUAUGAGCAUUGAGUGUGGUCAAGCUGUGUAGACCCUUAGGAGCUUGUCAUGUGGUUAAAAUCAAGAUUCACUUGCACGUUCACUCAUACAAGCUACUUCUACUCCGGAAGUACCAUCCACAUAUAUCCACUCAUUUCCAUCUCCACAUUCACCCAAAAUUAUUCUACUCCUAAUCCGGGAGAGAAUAGCCAAAAAUAUUUUCCUAUCCCUGUUAUUCCCUGUGAAAUACAUGCUCGAGUUAUCUUGGUUACUACCACUUGCUAUAUUAUCUCAGGAGAUGAGUGCUCUAAAAAAAGAAAAAAAAAGGAAGAAAAAAAUACGAGGAAAUAAAAAGGGGCAAGUGCCCGGAACCUCGAAAAAAAAGUGAGACGAGAGGUAAAAAUGGACAAGUCUCCGACAGUAGAAUUAGGGGUACAAGAUACCCACCUGAGAGGAAAGAAAAAGAAAAUAUAGAGCAUCUCAUUCUCCCCAAAAAGGUUCAGAGUGCAAGAAAGGUAUGUAUCCCCCAAAAGAGCAAAAGUAGAAUUAGACUUUCACCAUGAUUAUCAUCAUCAUCACCAUACACCAUUCAUUCGCCACACAUGCACAUCUUGAUUUGACUUAUUGACUUGAUUCUCUAGAUCCAUGGUUUGACUAUGCAAUAAAUGUCUUAUAAGUAUGUAUUAGCUGUCUCCCACCUAUGAGCUCCAGAUAUCAGAACCUUAUUAGAGUAGGGUGAGAGAGAAGGCAAUAUCACUAUGCCUCAUACCAAAAAUACCACAUACUUUGAGAGAAGGCAUAUACCAUUACUUCCUUGGUAAGGAUCCAAAAAUACCACAAAAGAGAGAUCUGAGAGAGUCAUAUAAGGAAUCUCUGAGUUUUAUUUGAAAAUCUGCAAAAACCCCAGGGCUAUAGCUGAUCAAGAAUAAGAAACAUGGCGCUUGACUUGACCGUUCUAUCUUUUAACUGCUCAAGACACAAGUGAAGGUUACAAGCCCUAUGGUGAAAGGUAAAAUGAGUAAAGUUUUAAGUCUUAACAGUUUAUUCUAACUCAGAGAUGAGAUCUUGCUUGAAUGCGUGUGUACUUUUAAGAAAUGAAACCACUGCAGAAACUCUUGAGUUCAUCCUUGCUCAUGGACGAGCAAGAGGUAAGCUUGGGGGAGUUUGUUGACUGUCCUUAAGUAUCAAAUUUAAUUAUCAAAUAAACAAAGAAAAGGAUCCAAAUGAAAUCAACAUCUAGACUUAGGGUUUUAUCUAACAGAAUUCCACGAGUUUUGGUGUUUGUCUAUUUCUACAGGGGGUUAUGAGGAAAUAUGAAAUAAAGGCCCACACGUCGGGAUUACAUAGACAUAUUAAUGUGCCGCGUAAUUUUCUAUCAUCUAGAAGACUCCAGAAGCCACGGGAACGAACGAGAGGCCGAACGGGCUCGGGGGCAGGGCGCCCGCCCACUCCCCUUGGGCGCCCGCCCAGUUGUUUCCACCAGUACACCAUUGCAAAGAUCUCGUCGAGCUGAUCGAAAUGCAUAUAUUAUUUGCUAUAUUUGGAGUUCGGAAUCAAGAGAUAUUAAUAAAAGAAGGACUCCACAUAAAAGAGCUGCGGGAUUAAUUGGGCCCAAAUCAGAUUUUGGUCCAUUAAGGCCUAUGUGCAUUUUAAUGAGAUAUGGUGGAAAGUUUAGUACCACAUCGCCUGCUGAACCAAAAACGCACAGAGGAGGAGGACUAUAUAAGCAAGGCCCCUGGCCCCUGGAGGAGGACAAGAAAUUAUCAUAGAGAUUGAGGGGUGCCCUCGAAGGAAAACCUCUUCUCUAAAUAAUAUUUAUUUUUAGGCUUAGCAACCAAUGUAAAGUAGAAAUAGAUCUUCUAGUUUCUACUAGAUUGAGAGAGAUAGAGUGGAGGUGUGGAUCGGAGGAAGGCCGUCC